AGAGACAGAGACAGAGGCAGAGGGAGAAGCAGGCUCCAUGCAGAGAGCCCAUCUCCUCUAGGAUUUUGAUGGAUUCCUGUCAUAGCGGUGAUUUAAAGAGAGAAGAGCAGAAUGGUCACACACUGGCCUGAAGUCCUUCAUCCUUCCUGCGUCCUGAAAUGUACUUAUGACUUCUGGUGCUCUAGCAACUCUUUUGGAACAUGAGAAAAAGGGAUGUAUCCUAGAGAUUAUGAAAUGGUGAGCUAGAGUCUAGGUAACCCAGUGUCCGCUGGGCUUAUCGUUCCAGCAUGAGCCUAGAGCACCUGCCAUGUUUGCGGAUGUCAUCCCUGCAAGUUGCAAGUCAGGCACUCAGCUUUUCUGCCUUGGUUAGUCAAUUUGCAAAACAGUAAUGAUCAGACCUUUAUUAGCAGAGAAGAAAGAAAGGGGGGAGGAAGGGAAGUAGACUGAAUAUUUCAUAUUUUGGUUAAGUUAGCAUCAGUUUCCUUUCACUGAAGGCACACAUAGUUUUGUGGGCUACUUCUCUUUUAAAUUUUAUUUGUCUUGCUAUAGUGGAGAGCCAAAAAAUGUGCUGGGCUUUUUUCAUAUUUUUUUUUCCUCAAGAGUGCUGUUUCUUCACUAAUAUCUAAUGAGCCAGGUUUACCACCUGUUUUAUCGAUUUUGUGUAUUGAAUUAUGGAAUGUGCU